rnacentral:tRNA from 7 species
GCCCCGUUCGUCUAGCGGCCCAGGACACCGCCCUCUCACGGCGGCAGCACCGGUUCAAAUCCGGUACGGGGUACGA